CUCCCUCGUUGCUGACCCCAGGUUCGAUAGUGCCAACGUGGCACUACCUCGCCAAGAACCAACUUCGAUGAAGCGACGGGCGGUGUGUGCAAGGAG
rnacentral:rRNA from 1 species